CCCCCCCCCCCCUCAAUACGGUGGUGGGUGAAACUAGGUUUAGGGUUAUAGUGUUAGAUAUGAUGAUGAAGAAGAAAUUAUAAGGGAUAUGUGGUGAGUUUGAGGGGAAUGUUGUCUGGCUCGACACAGUUACUCUCUAUAAUAUAUAGUCUUUUUUGUGGUUUUUUCAUCUUCUUCUUGAUGAUGAUGAUGAAAAAACAGAACAUAAUCACAAGAUAGAUGAAACUAUAUAAGGGAGUGAAGGCGUCGGACCAGGCUUCAUUCCUCUCAAACCAUAUUCUGCUAGUAAACGAAAACGCUAACUCACUCUUUUACGUGUGUUCGGCCGUAGCUAGGGUUUCCUUCCGAAAAUUACAUACAAGAGUGUUUGUUAAGGUUUUUUCGUGCCAGAUUUUAACAUCAUCACCAUGAAAGUCACUGCUGCUGCAUCUUCUUAGUUUUGGAGAACGUGCUGUUUGUUUAAUUUCAAGGGAGGGGUUUGAAAAUAGUCUCAUAUGAUAGAGAGAAUAUUGUGCUCUUUAAUUUAAUUAUUUAGGCCUUUUUAUGUAAUCAGCAGUGAUUCAAAUUAAUGACUAUGUAAUUGUUCAAUUUUCU